rnacentral:rRNA from 1 species
AUUGAACGCUGGCGGCAGGCCUAACACAUGCAAGUCGAGCGAGCGGCGGACGGGUGCGUAAUGUAUGGGGACUGCCCGAUAGAGGGGGAUAACUACUGGAAACGGUGGCUAAUACCGCAUACUAUCGGAUAACCCAUAUGGGAUGAGCUAGUAGGUGGGGUAAAGGCUCACCUAGGCGACGAUCUUUAGCUGGUCUGAGAGGAUGAUCAGCCACACGUGGAGUGAGACACGGCCCAGACUCCUACGGAGGCAGAAGUGGGGAAUAUUGCAAAGUGGGCGCAAGACUCGUGCAGCCAUGCCGCGUAUAUGAAGCAGGCCUUAGGGUUGUAAAGUACUUUCAGCGGGGAGGCGUUACCCGCAGAAGAAGCACCGGAGAACUCCGUGCCAGCAGCCGCGGUACUAC